UAAAAAAUUCAAGUUUUGAAUUUUUGUAAACUGAAUUGUCUUUUUCAAUUUUACAGAUUUAGACCGAUUUUUUAGAAAAUUGUUCAAAAUACUUUUAUUUCUUUCUCUCUCUCCUUUUUUUUCUCUCGUAAUUUUUUUUCCUCUCCGAAAAGAGAGACAGAGGCGGCCCGCCUCACCUUUAUCCCGGCGCUCUCGCUCGCAUCUGGGCACCAUCCGCCCUCCUCGCCUCCAACCCCACAAAAGCGCUGCCCUUUAAGAUGUCCCUCCGCGCCUCCGCCUUAUGCACCCUCACCUGCGCGCUCACCCCCCACCCUCCUCGCCUCCGGUUUCGUUGAGGCUACGCGGCGAUUCUCAAUUUUUUUAUCAAUUUUUUAAAAUUUCGGUCUGAAUCUAUAACAUCAAAAAACGAUAAUGUAAUUUUGUAAAAUUUCAAAACUGGUGGAUUUUU
rnacentral:lncRNA from 1 species